UCUAGGGGGUGUAGCAAUACAUCACCGGCGGACGGGUGCGUAACACGUGGGAAUAUACCUUUUGGUUCGGAACAACGCAGGGAAACUUGCGCUAAUACCGAAUGUGCCCUUACGGGGAAAGAUUUAUCGCCAAAGGAUUAGCCCGCGUCCGAUUAGCUAGUUGGUGAGGUAAUGGCUCACCAAGGCUCCGAUCGGUAGCUGUUCUGAGAGGAAGAUCAGCCACACUGGGACUGAGACACGGCCCANACUCCUACGGGAGGCAGCAGUUGGGAAUCUUGGACAAUGGGGGAAACCCUGAUCCAGCCAUGCCGCGUGAGUGAUGAAGGCCUUCGGGUUGUAAAACUCUUUCGACGGGGACGAUAAUGACGGUACCCGUAGAAGAAGCUCCGGCUAACUUCGUGCCANCAGCCGCGGUAAUACGAAGGGGGCUAGCGUUGUUCGGAAUUACUGGGCGUAAAGCGCGCGCAGGCGGUCUUCCAAGUCAGUGGUGAAAGCCCGGAGCUCAACUCCGGAACUGCCAUUGAAACUGUUANACUUGAGGACGAGAGAGGUGAGUGGAAUUCCCAGUGUANNGGUGAAAUUCNUANAUAUUGGGAAGAACACCGGUGGCGAANGCGGCUCACUGGCUCGUAUCUGACGCUCAUGCGCGACAGCGUGGGGAUCAAACAANGAUUANAUACCCCUGGUAGUCCACGCCGUANACGAUGAAUGCUAGCCGUUGGGNNAGCUUGCUGUUCANUGGCGCANCUAACNNNAUUAAGCAUUCCUUCCUGGNGGAGUACGGCCGCGCNGUUGAUACNCNNANGAANUGAAAGGGGRCCGGCGGNANGGCGGAA
rnacentral:rRNA from 1 species